UGACCGAGCAACGCCGCGUGAGUGAAGAAGGUUUUCGGAUUCGUAAAGCUCUGUUGUAAGAGAAGAACGAGUGUGAGAGUGGAAAGUUCACACUGUGACGGUAUCUUACCAGAAAGGGGCGGCUAACUACGUGCCAGCAGCCGCGGUAAUACGUAGGUCCCGAGCGUUGCCCGGAUUUAUUGGGCGUAAAGCGAGCGCAGGCGGUUAGAUAAGUCUGAAGUUAAAGGCUGUGGCUUAACCAUAGUACGCUUUGGAAACUGUUUAACUUGAGUGCAAGAGGGGAGAGUGGAAUUCCAUGUGUAGCGGUGAAAUGCGUAGAUAUAUGGAGGAACACCGGUGGCGAAAGCGGCUCUCUGGCUUUGUAACUGACGCUGAGGCUCGAAAGCGUGGGGAGCAAACAGGAUUUACAUACCCCUGGGUAAGUCCCACGGCCGUAAUACGAUGAGUGCUACGGUGUUAGACCCCUUGUUCCCCGGGGUUUAAAUUGCCGCAAGCCU
rnacentral:rRNA from 1 species